rnacentral:tRNA from 1 species
AGAAGCUUAGGAUAGCAUUAAUAAACCUGGGGCCUUCAAAGCCCUCAACGAGAGUGAAAAUCUCUCAGCUCCUG